rnacentral:rRNA from 1 species
UGGGGAAUAUUGCGCAAUGGAGGAAACUCUGACGCAGCAACGCCGCGUGAGUGAAGAAGGUUUUCGGAUCGUAAAACUCUGUCUUUGGGGACGAAUAAAAUGACGGUACCCAAGGAGGAAGCCCCGGCUAACUACGUGCCAGCAGCCGCGGUAAUACGUAGGGGGCAAGCGUUGUCCGGAAUUACUGGGCGUAAAGAGUACGUAGGCGGUUUGUUAAGUUAGGGGUGAAAGUUUGCAGCUCAACUGUAAAAUGGCAUUUAAAACUGGCAGACUUGAGUCUCGGAGAGGUAAGCGGAAUUCCGAGUGUAGCGGUGAAAUGCGUAGAGAUUAGGAAGAACACCGGUGGCGAAGGCGGCUUACUGGACGAGUACUGACGCUCAGGUACGAAAGCGUGGGGAGCAAACA